UACAGAGGGUGCUAGCGUUAAUCGGAAUUACUGGGCGUAAAGGGUUCGUAGGUGGCCAACUAAGUCAGACGUGAAAUCCCUCAGCUUAACUGGGGAACUGCGUCUGAUACUGGUUGGCUUGAGUGCAGGAGAGGAACGCGGAAUUCCAGGUGUAGCGGUGAAAUGCGUAGAUAUCUGGAGGAACACCGGUGGCGAAGGCGGCGUUCUGGACUGCAACUGACACUGAGGAACGAAAGCCAGGGGAGCAAACGGG
rnacentral:rRNA from 1 species